rnacentral:rRNA from 1 species
UACGGGGGGAGCAAGCGUUGUUCGGAUUUACUGGGCGUAAAGGGCGCGUAGGCGGUCAGCACAAGUCAGUUGUGAAAUCUCCGGGCUUAACUCGGAAAGGUCAACUGAUACUGUGCGACUAGAGUGCAGAAGGGGCAACUGGAAUUCUCGGUGUAGCGGUGAAAUGCGCAGAUAUCAGGAGGAACACCGGUGGCGAAGGCGGAUCUCUGGGCCGAUACUGACGCUGAGGAGCGAAAGCGUGGGGAGCGAACAGG